rnacentral:rRNA from 1 species
GCUAAACCAUGCACCGAAGCUGCGGCAGCGAACGUAUCACUUAAAGCGAUUCAGCGGGUUACGAUUGACGGAGCGAAGCGACGUCAAAGCGUAUACAAAGUCGAGUCGGUUUAAGGAUACGUUCGUUGGGUAGGGGAGCGUUCUGUAAGCCUGCGUGUGUUGUUGGGUAGGGGAGCGUUCUGUAAGCCUGUGAAGGUGGCCUGUGAGGGUUGCUGGAGGUAUCAGAAGUGCGAAUGCUGACAUAAGUAACGAUAAAGCGGGUGAAAAGCCCGCUCGCCGGAAGACCAAGGGUUCCUGUCCAACGUUAAUCGGGGCAGGGUGAGUCGACCCCUAAGGCGAGGCCGAAAGGCGUAGUCGAUGGGAAACGGGUUAAUAUUCCCGUACUUGGUGUUACUGCGAAGGGGGGACGGAGAAGGCUAUGUUGGCCGGGCGACGGUUGUCCCGGUUUAAGCGUGUAGGUGUGUGUUCCAGGUAAAUCCGGUUCACUUUAACACUGAGGCGUGACGACGAGGCACUACGGUGCUGAAGCAACAAAUGCCCUGCUUCCAGGAAAAGCCUCUAAGCAUCAGGUAACAUCAAAUCGUACCCCAAACCGACACAGGUGGUCAGGUAGAGAAUACCAAGGCGCUUGAGAGAACUCGGGUGAAGGAACUAGGCAAAAUGGUGCCGUAACUUCGGGAGAAGGCACGCUGACACGUAGGUGAAGUGAUUUACUCAUGGAGCUGAAGUCAGUCGAAGAUACCAGCUGGCUGCAACUGUUUAUUAAAAACACAGCACUGUGCAAACACGAAAGUGGACGUAUACGGUGUGACGCCUGCCCGGUGCCGGAAGGUUAAUUGAUGGGGUCAGCGCAAGCGAAGCUCCUGAUCGAAGCCCCGGUAAACGGCGGCCGUAACUAUAACGGUCCUAAGGUAGCGAAAUUCCUUGUCGGGUAAGUUCCGACCUGCACGAAUGGCGUAAUGAUGGCCAGGCUGUCUCCACCCGAGACUCAGUGAAAUUGAACUCGCUGUGAAGAUGCAGUGUACCCGCGGCAAGACGGAAAGACCCCGUGAACCUUUACUAUAGCUUGACACUGAACAUUGAGCCUUGAUGUGUAGGAUAGGUGGGAGGCUUUGAAGUGUGGACGCCAGUCUGCAUGGAGCCGACCUUGAAAUACCACCCUUUAAUGUUUGAUGUUCUAACGUGGACCCGUAAUCCGGGUUGCGGACAGUGUCUGGUGGGUAGUUUGACUGGGGCGGUCUCCUCCUAAAGAGUAACGGAGGAGCACGAAGGUUGGCUAAUCCUGGUCGGACAUCAGGAGGUUAGUGCAAUGGCAUAAGCCAGCUUGACUGCGAGCGUGACGGCGCGAGCAGGUGCGAAAGCAGGUCAUAGUGAUCCGGUGGUUCUGAAUGGAAGGGCCAUCGCUCAACGGAUAAAAGGUACUCCGGGGAUAACAGGCUGAUACCGCCCAAGAGUUCAUAUCGACGGCGGUGUUUGGCACCUCGAUGUCGGCUCAUCACAUCCUGGGGCUGAAGUAGGUCCCAAGGGUAUGGCUGUUCGCCAUUUAAAGUGGUACGCGAGCUGGGUUUAGAACGUCGUGAGACAGUUCGGUCCCUAUCUGCCGUGGGCGCUGGAGAACUGAGGGGGGCUGCUCCUAGUACGAGAGGACCGGAGUGGACGCAUCACUGGUGUUCGGGUUGUCAUGCCAAUGGCACUGCCCGGUAGCUAAAUGCGGAAGAGAUAAGUGCUGAAAGCAUCUAAGCACGAAACUUGCCCCGAGAUGAGUUCUCCCUGAGACUUAGAGUCUCCUGAAGGAACGUUGAAGACGACGACGUUGAUAGGCCGGGUGUGUAAGCGCAGCGAUGCGUUGAGCUAACCGGUACUAAUGAACCGUGAGGCUUAACCUU